AUGGCCCUAGUAAAAAUUACAUAGCUCUGUCAGUGCUAAAUUAUAGGCUCAUGCCUUUGCGCCAUU